GAAGAAGAUAGAAAACACGGUAGAAAGAUACGGAACUAACACGAGUCGAGUUCUCGACGCCCACCUGAUCAUACAGUACAGAGUCGACAGAGAAUCGUGCUGAAACUAAACGUGCGUCGACUAUCGUCUCGCCAUGACAAAAGUAAAACUUGCUCCAUUAUUUCUGGCUGAGAUUACACAAUUACUGACAAGAAAUUACAACGAAAAUUCCAGGUAGAGCGUCCAAGUGUGUACAUUUUAUCAGAAAUACAAGAGUCUCGUAUCAUAUACGCUCCGGCUUACGUUUUACAAGAUAAGCACACAAGAAUAUACAAAGUUGUUGAAACGUUCGCGUAUUCCAUCGGAAUACUCACUCAUUCUUAUCGUAAGUAGUCAUGAAAUAAAGUUAGCAUUCUUUGAAAUGGUUUCUGUUUAAAUGUAUUAUUCAGCACAGUAGAAAAAAAAACGUGAUUGAGGAAACCGGAGAACGUUGCAACGAGAACUCGAGUUGGAGGGGCUGCACUCCACUGCAUACAUUCAAGGCACAGCUUCUUGCCUUGCAAGUAGGUAUGCAAACAAUAUAUCGAUACACCUGACCCGAGGCAUCGGUCCAAAUAGAUUUCAAAUAAAGUUUAUUCAACGUUUAUUGUAGUCACCGUCAAUUCGGUUUCGAUGCAUCGAUCGUAGUAUCGUAUCGAUAUUCCCAACCAUGGGUUUUUUACAUUCUUUCCCAAGGGAAACGUUACUGAAAACUUUUAGUAAUAUUGCAUUCACUCACUCAUAUUACUCGUCGCAACGCUGAAUAGACAAGCGAUCCAUUUGGGCGAACGUUAAUUACUUGUCGAUAACAUUUGCACAAUUUUUAUCCCAACGAAACCGCCAAUUUUUUUUUAACAAAAUACCGCCUUACACACCACUGUGCACACCGACAUGCAGCAACGUGCACUGUCGUACUGCGCAUGCGUGUUCGCGAUAAGUCUAAGGAGCUCGACUCAUGGCGGAUUCUUAGUAAGAUAUCUAUUCUUGUUAUUGGAAUAAAGUGAGAUGAACCGAUGCGUAAGAAACUAAGAUGGGAUAGAAUUAGGAGAGAUAUUCUCGUAUAUGCAAUAAGAAAGUCUAAAUAGACGCGAUAAAUUAUUAGGCAAACUACCAUGCGGCAUACGUGUCAUACUUGCGUAUAGGUAUUUUUAAUAUAUAUUUUAGAACGAUUGAACUAUCAUAGAUGACACGUUUAAACUAUCCGGAUGAAACAGCUUUUGU